UCCCAAGGCUACUGUUUUCAGUCCAUGGUCUGCAGAGCUCUGGCAGCCUGUGAGUUAUUUCUAGAGGAGUGCACAGCGAGUCUGCAUGGGCAAGCCGAAAGCCGGGCACUGGACAGAGGAGCAUCACUUGGUUUUCUGAAAGCUGAGAUUGCAGUUACUUGGUGAAAAGACAGAAGCAGAAACAGCAAGAACAAGUAAAACCCCUCAGUGGCAUUAGAUUCCUACAGAAGCCUUCAGAAGACUAUGUGGUGAAGAGAAGUUUAAUUCCUAAUUGAAAUGGCACCCUGCUGCUAGCUGGGGGUCCGCAGUCAAAAUAACCAUAGCUGGACUGAGGAGAGCAGAAAACUGCAAUACUAGCACUUCCAGUAAAACCAAUAUAUAUAAACAAAGUGUCACCAAACAGCUGGAAUUGAGAGGUAUCAGCUCUGGAGUCAAA